AGUGAACGCUGGCGGUAGGCCUAACACAUGCAAGUCGAACGGCAGCACAGUAAGAGCUUGCUCUUACGGGUGGCGAGUGGCGGACGGGUGAGGAAUACAUCGGAAUCUACUUUUUCGUGGGGGAUAACGUAGGGAAACUUACGCUAAUACCGCAUACGACCUACGGGUGAAAGCAGGGGAUCUUCGGACCUUGCGCGAUUGAAUGAGCCGAUGUCGGAUUAGCUAGUUGGCGGGGUAAAGGCCCACCAAGGCGACGAUCCGUAGCUGGUCUGAGAGGAUGAUCAGCCACACUGGAACUGAACCACGGUCCAGACUCCUACGGGAGGCAGCAGUGGGGAAUAUUGGACAAUGGGCGCAAGCCUGAUCCAGCCAUACCGCGUGGGUGAAGAAGGCCUUCGGGUUGUAAAGCCCUUUUGUUGGGAGAGAAAAGCAGCAGGUUAAUACCCCGCUGUUCUGACGGUACCCAAAGAAUAAGCACCGGCUAACUUCGUG
rnacentral:rRNA from 1 species